UACGUAGGUGGCAAGCGUUGUCCGGAUUUACUGGGCGUAAAGGAUGCGUAGGCGGACAUUUAAGUCAGAUGUGAAAUACCCGAGCUUAACUUGGGUGCUGCAUUUGAAACUGGGUGUCUAGAGUGCAGGAGAGGUAAGUGGAAUUCCUAGUGUAGCGGUGAAAUGCGUAGAGACUAGGAAGAACACCAGUGGCGAAGGCGACUUACUGGACUGUAACUGACGCUGAGGCAUGAAAGCGUGGGGAGCGAACAGG
rnacentral:rRNA from 1 species